UGGACAUAAAGAUCUCCAGCAUAUCUCCAAUGAUUGUAGCAGACGUCAGCACUGGUGAAGAAGACACCUCAUCUCAGGUCAGGAUGUCAGCAGAAACUGGUCUUCUCACGAGCAUAAGUGCUGACACACACACACACAAAGCCCUUAUCUUCAACUCAAGGUUCUCUAGCACUGGCAAGUGUCUUAUCACUACGGUUGGAUACACACACAUAAUAGGCCGACAUUAAUCUUGAGGAAUAGAAAUACAGGAUAGAACAGGAUUCUUAAUACAUCUAGUAUACAUUUCUAAAUCUCCCUCGCAGCGCACGUAGUGGAAGGGCCUCUCCUGACCCUUUUAGCUGACCUUGUGACCCUAGGAGAAGGAAUACACUCACAUAUGUUCCUGUCUGUUACUUCAAAACACUUCUAAAAGGAAAAAUAUAUAUCUGUGUAAGCAUGCAUCUAUCUAUAUGUAUAUACAGGUCCUUCUCAAAAAAUUAGCAUUGUGAAAAAGUUCAUUAUUUUCCAUAAUGUAA